CAGAGUUGCAAAACUCCCAACCCUUUGUGAACGAACCUACCAGUUGCCUCGGCGGCGAGCCUUUCAGGCGGACCGCCGGAGGAAUACAAACUCUUUGCAUUCUAGUAUCUCUGAUUAUUUAUUCAAUAAGUUA
rnacentral:misc_RNA from 1 species